rnacentral:rRNA from 1 species
GUAAUGUCUGGGAAACUGCCUGAUGGAGGGGGAGUAACUACUGGAAACGGUAGCUAAUACCGCAUAACGUCGCAAGACCAAAGAGGGGGACCUUCGGGCCUCUUGCCAUCAGAUGUGCCCAGAUGGGAUUAGCUAGUAGGUGGGGUAACGGCUCACCUAGGCGACGAUCCCUAGCUGGUCUGAGAGGAUGACCAGCCACACUGGAACUGAGACACGGUCCAGACUCCUACGGGAGGCAGCAUG